AGAUGUAUGCCCUAGAAGCCAAUUUUGGCUGACACAUUAUUAAUUCUAGGACAUAAUUUGUACUUGACUUUAUUAUUAUUGAAUAAAUGAAAGGCAUCUUUUUCAUUCAUAUUAUUAUUGUGUCUAUGAAUCGUCCAAAGAAUUAAUAAGAUGAUGAUGCAUAUUCUCAAGAGUUGAGAAUUUGAGCCAUGUAUCAUUAGUGAUUAAUUU
rnacentral:lncRNA from 1 species